rnacentral:rRNA from 1 species
GACGAAGGUGGCUAGCGUUAUUCGGAUUUACUGGGCAUAAAGCGCGCGUAGGCGGCUUGGCAAGUCGGAGGUGAAAGCCUGCAGCUCAACUGCGGUGUGCCUCCGAAACUGCCGAGCUUGAGUGCGGGAGGGGUGAUUGGAACUCCAGGUGUAGCGGUGAAAUGCGUAGAUAUCUGGAGGAACACCAGAGGCGAAGGCGAAUCACUGGACCGCAACUGACGCUGAGGCGCGAAAGCUAGGGGAGCAAACGGG